rfam:Asian citrus Psyllid, Diaphorina citri - Florida Strain, whole genome shotgun sequence.
GCCUAGUUAGCUCGGUGGGUAGAGCGUCUGUCUUGUAAGCGCUUGGCCGCGGGUUUGAUUCCCGCCCGGGGCG